GACGCACGGCGGAGACCGCGAGUGUGGCCGCCUCAGAGCGCUAGACUAGGCCGGCCACAUGCGGGCCAGGGGAUGCGGGGCCUCCACUAGAGAAUCCCGCUCCACCACCGUGACCAGCAACAAAGUGAGACCAGCGCCCUCAGGACAGAGGGACCCAGCGGACCUUCUUUUCUGACGUCCUUGGGCAUCUCAGGGGGCGUCAACUUUAGUCUCUCAGAUCCAGAAGCAGACCAAAGCAGCAAACAGAUGAUCACAAAAGUAACAUGUGCUCCUCUGUGUGUGCCAGGUUAAACCUUGAUCAAGAAUGUUCUGGAUGAAAGACAGUACAGAUAGUUAAAAGCAAAAAUAUUUGCAGGCUCCGUGUGGCACAGUCCGAGAGCUACUGUCCUACAGGAAGCAGGAAAUGAUGGAUGCGAAAAUACAAGUGGAAGUGUUACCUAGGCAAGAGGAAGAAAUAUUUAUUCAUCUGAGACAAGAGUAAAAGAAGAUAGAGAGGAGAAAUAAAUAUGCCAAGAAGUAAUGUACAAGGUGAUGUCUAAGAAGAGUGUGAACUUGGCUGUGAGCAGCUACCCAGUGCUUCCUGUUGAGAAAAUCCCCAACAACGGCACUGGUGCGACAAUAUGAAAAUUUCAAAGCAUCUUCCAGUUUAUUUAUUUUUGCUGUUGCUGUUCUCAUGUGGCAGGGCAUAGCAGAAUCUUUUAGUAUGCAAUGUUGGGUUUGUAGCUGAGAAGAGAUUUCAGAGCUAAACAGCCCAAUAAAAUAAAGUGGGAAAGAUGGUAUUUGGAUGAAGCCAAAGGAAGGAGGCUCUCAAAAGAGAUAAGUGAAAGUCUUUAGAAAGCAAUGAAACAUGAUUAUAGGAUGGGCCAAAAGAUAUAUAAUGAUAUAUUUUAUCUAACAUUCUCUUUACAAUUGUUUCUAUUGGGCAUUGCCAAACACACCCAUCUCCCCUAAUUUUCGGCAGAGUAUAUAUUCUGGAGUCUAUGUCCAUGGAAAUCUAGUAAAGAGAUGAUUUUUCCUAUCUCUGGUAACAUGGCAUACAAGAGGGACCCUGUUCAUUGGAUGAUGAUCUAAUCCAUUUACUGAACUAAAAUAAUGAAUGCUGUGGCUUAUACAUGGGAAGAACCUUUAACAACAGGAACCAUUGCCUCCCCCAGAAGCUCUUUCUCCCUAUGCCCUACUGCUGGUUAUAAUAGGUGAUUACACUGUAAAUUAUCUAAUGACUUAUUCCCUUAACAGUAAAAUUUAUGGGACUUCCCUAGUGGUGCAGUGGUUAAGAAUCCGCCUGCCAA